rnacentral:misc_RNA from 1 species
UCCUCGUUUAAGCGAGGCAGUCUGUCCAGAGUGCUUCAAACUCUCGUUCAAGUGGCAACUGGACACAAGGGUUGCGCUCGUUGCGGGACUUAACCCAACAUCUCACGACACGAGCUGACGACAGCCAUGCAGCACCUGUGUAUUCUGGUAUUGCUACCUCGUUAGGUUUUCACCCUUCUACUAAAUACAUGUCAAGGCCAGGUAAGGUUCUUCGCGUUGCAUCGAAUUAAGCCACAUACUCCACCGCUUGUGCAGGCCCCCGUCAAUUUCUUUGAGUUUUAAUCUUGCGACCGUACUCCCCAGGCGGCACAUUUAACGCGUUAGCUUCGCCACAAGCGGGGUCGAUUCCGCUUACAGCAAAUGUGCACCGUUUACAGCUAGGACUAC